rnacentral:rRNA from 1 species
UGUCUUUUAAAUAAAGACUAGAAUGAAUGGCCAAACGAGGUUCUACCUGUCUCUUACAAAUAAUCAGUGAAAUUGAUCUUCCCGUGCAAAAGCAGGAAUAACAUUAUAAGACGAGAAGACCCUGUGGAACUUCAAAUAUAAAAUCAACUAUCACUGACACCCACCCAACAAGGGCCUACACCAUAACAGUAUCUGAUUUUUAUUUUUGGUUGGGGCGACCUCGGAGCAAAACAAAACCUCCGAAAAAUAAAGAAAUUCUUUAAACCUAGAAUUACAAUCCAAAGUGCUUCCAGCAAAACGAUCCAAUAUAUUUGAUCAACGAACCAAGCUACCCCAGGGAUAACAGCGCAAUCCCAUCCUAGAGUCCUUAUCGACGAUGGGGUUUACGACCUCGAUGUUGGAUCAGGACAUCCUAAUGGUGCAGCCGCUAUUAAGGGUUCGUUUGUUCAACGAUUAACAGU